rnacentral:rRNA from 1 species
GACGUAGGGCGCGAGCGUUGUCCGGAUUUAUUGGGCGUAAAGAGCUCGUAGGCGGCUUGUCGCGUCGUUCGUGAAAACCUGCAGCUCGACUGCAGGCUUGCGGUCGAUACGGGCAGGCUAGAGUUCGGUAGGGGAGACUGGAAUUCCUGGUGUAGCGGUGAAAUGCGCAGAUAUCAGGAAGAACACCCGUGGCGAAGGCGGCUCUCUGGGACGGUACUGACGCUGAGACGCGAAAGCGUGGGGAGCGAACAGG